rnacentral:pre_miRNA from 1 species
AAGGAGCUUUGGGGGCAUGUAUGUCCCACUUUGUCAAUCAUAAUGCCCCUAAAAAUCCUUAA